AUACCGCGUGUGUGAAGAAGGCCUUCGGGUUGUAAAGCACUUUAAGCAGGGAGAAAAAGUUAUAGGUUAAUACCCUAUGACCUUGAUGUUACCUGCAGAAUAAGCACCGGCUAAUUCCGUGCCAGCAGCCGCGGUAAUACGGAAGGUGCAAGCGUUAAUCGGAAUUACUGGGCGUAAAGCGCGCGUAGGUGGUUUGUUAAGUUGGAUGUGAAAGCCCUGGGCUCAACCUAGGAACUGCAUCCAAAACUAACUCACUAGAGUACGAUAGAGGGAGGUAGAAUUCAUAGUGUAGCGGUGGAAUGCGUAGAUAUUAUGAAGAAUACCAGUGGCGAAGGCGGCCUCCUGGAUCUGUACUGACACUGAGGUGCGAAAGCGUGGGUAGCGAACAGGAUUAGAUACCCUGGUAGUCCACGCCGUAAACGAUGACAACUAGCUGUUGGGAGACUAUGUCUUUCAGUGGCGCAGCUAACGCUUUAAGUUGUCCGCCUGGGGAGUACGGCCGCAAGGCUAAAACUCAAAUGAAUUGACGGGGACCCGCACAAGCGGUGGAGCAUGUGGUUUAAUUCGAUGCAACGCGAAAAACCUUACCUACUCUUGACAUACUUGGAGGCUCUUGUAAUAAGAGCGUGCCUUUUGGAACCAAGAUACAGGUGCUGCAUGGCUGUCGUCAGCUCGUGUCGUGAGAUGUUCCGUUAAGUCGGAUAACGAGCGCAACCCUUACCCUUAUUUGCCAGCGAUUCGGUCGGGAACUAUAAGGGGACUGCCGGUGAUAAACCGGAGGAAGGUGAGGACGACGUCAAGUCAUCAUGGCCCUUACGAGUAGGGCUACACACGUGCUACAAUGGAGAAUACAGACGGACGCUAAGCCGCGAGGUGGUGCUAAUCCUAGAAAGUUCUUCGUANUCCGGAUUGGAGUCUGCAACUCGACUCCAUGAAGUCGGAGUCGCUAGUAAUCGCGGAUC
rnacentral:rRNA from 1 species